GAUGAACGCUGGCGGCGUGCUUAACACAUGCAAGUCGAACGGAAAGGCUCCUGCUUGUUGCGGUACUCGAUUGGCGAACGCGUGAGUAACACGUGGGUGACCUGCCCUGCACUUCGGGAUAAGCCUGGGAAGCUGGGUCUAAUACCGGAUAGGACCACAUUUUGGAUGGUGUGGUGGAAAGUUUUUCGGUGUGGGAUGAGCUCGCGGCCUAUAAGCUUGUUGGUGGGGUAGUGGCGUACCAAGGCGGCGACGGGGAGCCGGCCUGAGAGAGUGUAGGGCCACAUUAGGACUGAGAGACGGGCCGGAGUCCUGCGUGAGGCAGAAGUGGGGAAUAUUGCACAAUGGGCGCAAGCGUGAUGGAGGGAGGCCGCGUGGGGGAUGACGGCCUUCGGGUUGUAAAAACCUUUCGCUAGGGACGAAGCGUUUUUGUGACGGUACCUGGAGAAGAAGCACCGGCUAACUACGUG
rnacentral:rRNA from 1 species